GAAGCUUACUGAUGACUAAAUAUCUGAUGAGGAAAUUCAGCAUUAAUGUGCCAGAUGAUGGUACAUUGGUGUGCACUUUUCUUCUAGUAAGACGUUGCGAUCCAUUAGAAAAGCAAUUUAAAUCUGUAUAUAGGCCCAGAUAGGAGUUUAUACAUUAAGCGAGUAACAUAGCUUUGUUGUUAUGUGAAUGCGUGUAAACUAUUUGGUGUUCUUACAGAUGUCUGAUGGUAUAUUGACGAGUGUCACAUACAAUUCCUUGUGAAUUGACAUUCUUUAUGUGGAUGUAAUGUGUACAUUAUCAGCAACGUUUUAGAUUUAGGAUACCAUCAGGACCCGUCUUGAAACACGGACCAAGAAGUCUAACUUGUAUGCAAGUCAAUGGGAUUUUUAAAACCUAUAGGCGAAAUGAGAUUAACUUGUUAAUGGGAUUACAAAUGGUGUAUUAAUUAUACUGUUUUUCCCUCCCCGGGUAUCUUAAUGGAAAUACUGGAAUCCCGGUUGCGUGGACCAAAAAAAUAUACCGUGAGCAUACAAGCUGUGACCCGAAAGAAGGUGAACUAUGCCUGAACAGGUUGAAAUCAGGGGAAACCCUGAUGGAAGAACGUAACAAUUCUGACGUGCAAAUCCAUUGUCAGAAUUGGGUAUAGGGGCGAAAGAACAAUCCAACCCUCUAAUAAUGUUUUCCUUUCCAAAA
rnacentral:rRNA from 1 species